GACGAACGCUGGCGGCGUGCCUAACACAUGCAAGUCGAGCGAAUGAAGUUCCUUCGGGAAUGGAUUUAGCGGCGGACGGGUGAGUAACACGUGGGCAACCUGCCUCAUAGAGGGGAAUAGCCUUCCGAAAGGGAGAUUAAUACCGCAUAAGAUUGUAGUACCGCAUGGUACAGCAAUUAAAGGAGCAAUCCGCUAUGAGAUGGGCCCGCGGCGCAUUAGCUAGUUGGUGAGGUAACGGCUCACCAAGGCGACGAUGCGUAGCCGACCUGAGAGGGUGAUCGGCCACCUUGGGACUGAGACACGGUCCAGACUCCUACGGGAGGCAGCAGUGGGGAAUAUUGCACAAUGGGGGAAACCCUGAUGCAGCAACGCCGCGUGAGUGAUGACGGCCUUCGGGUUGUAAAGCUCUGUCUUCAGGGACGAUAAUGACGGUACCUGAGGAGGAAGCCACGGCUAACUACGUGCCAGCCGCCGCCGUAAAAC
rnacentral:rRNA from 1 species